rnacentral:rRNA from 1 species
UCUGUCCUACGGGGCGCAGCAGUGAGGAAUAUUGGUCAAUGGGAGAGAUCCUGAACCAGCCACGCCGCGUGAGGGAAGACGGCCCUAUGGGUUGUAAACCUCUUUUGUCGGAGAACAAAACCCGGGACGUGUCCCGGACUGCGUGUAUCCGAAGAAAAAGCAUCGGCUAACUCCGUGCCAGCAGCCGCGGUAAUACGGAGGAUACGAGCGUUAUCCGGAUUUAUUGGGUUUAAAGGGUGCGUAGGCGGUCCGUUAAGUCAGCGGUAAAAUUGCGGGGCUCAACCCUGUC